UAUAAUUUUUAUGGUGUAAAUAUAUUUUAUGCAUGUGGAAAGGAUUAAGUCAGUUCCUAACUGUCCAACUUUAAACUAAGAAUCAUGAAUUUUAAACAGAAGAAGUUGGUCAUAGGAUUAUGAAAUUGAUUAAAUCUUAUAAACUAAUGCAUUACAGUAGGUAGGAGAAUUUGGAUUUUGGAUGGUUCAGGAGUCUAAUUGAGCUAUUCUUGACUUUCAGAAUUAGGGACAAACAGAACUAUUAUGGAUCGGCUUUGUGGUUCUGCAUCUCUCAUGAUAGUAUCAGAUCUUGAUUUUACAAUGGUAAGCUGUUGUCUUUUUAUUAGCUUACAUCAUACUCCCGAAUAUUAUUUGUGCUUGCUGGUAAUUGCAGGUUGACCAUCUUGAUCCAGAUAACCUCUCUCUUCUUAGAUUCAAUGCUCUAUGGGAAGCCUAUUACCGUCAAAAUUCUCUGCUUGUGUUUUCUAGUGGCAGGUCACCUACAAUUUAUAAACAGUUAAAGAAUGAGAAGCCCUUGUUGACCCCUGAUAUAACCAUAAUGUCUGUUGGAACUGAGAUUAUGUAUGGUGAGUCAAUGGCAAGAGAUGACGACUGGGAAAAAUACUUGAAUCACAGGUGGAACAGGGAAAUAGUCACAGAGGAAACAGCCAAGUUUCCUGAGCUUACUCCUCAGGCAGAAACAGAGCAAAGGCCUCACAAGUUAAGCUUUUUUGUGGAGAAGAUUAAAGCCUUGGAAGUUAUAGGGGCUCUCACAGAACUUUUAGAGAAACGUGGGCUGGAUGUGAAAGUGAUAUACAGUAAUGUGACGGCUUUGGAUAUAUUACCAAAACGUGCUGGCAAAGGACAGGCUCUUG
rnacentral:misc_RNA from 1 species